rnacentral:rRNA from 1 species
AACGAACGCUGGCGGCAUGCCUAACACAUGCAAGUCGAACGAAGCCUUCGGGCUUAGUGGCGCACGGGUGCGUAACGCGUGGGAAUCUGCCCUUGGGUUCGGAAUAACAGUUAGAAAUGACUGCUAAUACCGGAUGAUGUCUUCGGACCAAAGAUUUAUCGCCCAAGGAUGAGCCCGCGUAGGAUUAGGUAGUUGGUGGGGUAAUGGCCCACCAAGCCGACGAUCCUUAGCUGGUCUGAGAGGAUGAUCAGCCACACUGGGACUGAGACACGGCCCAUACUCCUACGGGAGGCAGCAGUGGGGAAUAUUGGACAAUGGGCGAAAGCCUAAUCCAGCAAUGCCGCGUGAGUGAUGAAGGCCUUAGGGUUGUAAAGCUCUUUUACCAGGGAUGAUAAUGACAGUACCUGGAGAAUAAGCUCCGGCUAACUCCGUGCCAGCCGCCGCGGUAA